AGGACGAACGCUGGCGGCGUGCUUAACACAUGCAAGUCGAACGGUGAAGCCCUUCGGGGUGGAUCAGUGGCGAACGGGUGAGUAACACGUGAGCAAUCUGCCCUUGACUCUGGGAUAACUUCGGGAAACCGGAGCUAAUACCGGAUAUGACAUACGGCCGCAUGGUCUGUGUGUGGAAAGAUUUAUCGGUCAAGGAUGAGCUCGCGGCCUAUCAGCUUGUUGGUGGGUAAUGGCCUACCAAGGCGACGACGGGUAGCCGGCCUGAGAGGGCGACCGGCCACGACUGGGACUGAGACACGGCCCAGACUCCUACGGGAGCAGCAGUGGGAAUAUUGCGCAAUGGGCGAAAGCCUGACGCAGCGACGCCGCGUGAGGGAUGGAAGGCCUUCGGGUCGUAAACCGUCUUUACGAGUCCGAGGGAAGAAGCGGAAGUGACGGUACCUGCAGAAGAAGCAACCGGCUAACGUACGUGACCAGCCAGCCGAC
rnacentral:rRNA from 1 species